rnacentral:rRNA from 1 species
UGUUGGUGGGGUAAAUGCUUACCAAGACUAUGAUCAGUAGUUGGUCUGAGAGGACGAUCAGCCACACUGGGACUGAGACACGGCCCAGACUCCUACGGGAGGCAGCAGUGAGGAAUUUUCCGCAAUGGGCGAAAGCCUGACGGAGCAAUGUCGCGUGGAGGAAGAAGGCCCGUGGGUCGUAAACUCCUUUUGUCAAAGAAGAAAAUAUGACGGUAUUUGACGAAUAAGCAUCGGCUAACUCCGUGCCAGCAGCCGCGGUAAUACGGGGGAUGCAAGCGUUAUCCGGAAUUAUUGGGCGUAAAGGGUCCUGAGGUGGCUAGCCAAGUCUAUUGUGAAAUAUCAGGGCUUAACCCUGAACAUGCGGUGGAAACUAGAAAGCUUGAGUACAGUAGGGGCGGAGGGAAUUUCCGGUGGAGCGGUGAAAUGCAUAGAUAUCGGGAAGAACACCAAA